rnacentral:lncRNA from 1 species
UCAACUUUGAAACCUUCAACCAGUAAUUGCCUUCUAUUUGUUUGCCGUUCAGGAUGACGCAGGAAGGAUUGGAAAGUCAUCAUCCUGUUGAAAUCUUCAAGUCCUAAAUGGACUUUUACAGCAUCAUCCCAGAUAGGAAGUUGAGCAACAUUGGUCCACACGUCAUCAUCUAAAAUAAUACGUACGCCUUUGACCUUAGUGG